AGGGUUUGAUUAUGGCUCAGGACGAACGCUGGCGGCGUGCUUAACACAUGCAAGUCGAACGGGAAGAGAUGAAGAGCUUGCUCUUUAUCAAAUCCAGUGGCAAACGGGUGAGUAACACGUAAACAACCUGCCUUCAGGAUGGGGACAACAGACGGAAACGACUGCUAAUACCGAAUACGUUCCACGGGCCGCAUGACCUGUGGAAGAAAGGGUAGCCUCUACCUGUAAGCUAUCGCCUGAAGAGGGGUUUGCGUCUGAUUAGGCAGUUGGUGGGGUAACGGCCCACCAAACCAACGAUCAGUAGCCGGUCUGAGAGGAUGAACGGCCACACUGGAACUGAGACACGGUCCAG
rnacentral:rRNA from 1 species